rnacentral:rRNA from 1 species
UACGUAGGGUGCAAGCGUUGUCCGGAAUUAUUGGGCGUAAAGAGCUCGUAGGCGGUUUGUCGCGUCUGCUGUGAAAACUCGGGGCUUAACUCCGGGCCUGCAGUGGGUACGGGCAGACUAGAGUGCGGUAGGGGAGACUGGAAUUCCUGGUGUAGCGGUGAAAUGCGCAGAUAUCAGGAGGAACACCGAUGGCGAAGGCAGUGAUCUGGGCCAGUACUGACGCUGAGGAGCGAAAGCGUGGGGAGCAAACAGG